rnacentral:rRNA from 1 species
UACAGAGGUGGCAAGCGUUGCUCGGUAUCACUGGGCUUAAAGGGCGCGUAGGCGGUGCGGUGCGGUUUCGGUGAAAUCCCUCGGCCCAACCGAGGAACAGCCGGGGCUACGGCCGCGCUAGACGGCAUCAGGGGACAGUGGAACUUCCGGUGGAGCGGUGAAAUGCGUAGAUAUCGGAAGGAACGCCGGUGGCGAAAGCGACUGUCUGGGGUGCCUGUGACGCUGAGGCGCGAAAGCCAGGGGAUCAAACGGG